GCCCAGCAGCAGGGCUGGGAAUGAGGGCAGGUGGUCUGUCAUAUAUCUAUAAUAGUUUUUAGGUGGAAGAAACUGAGUCACGGAAGAGGCCUCGGAGGGAGUUUUCGUUCUUAUCUCCAUUCUACAGAUGAGGAAGUAGGGACCCAGAGAGGCAAGGUGAUCUGACUCCCAGUCCAGUGCUCUUCCUACCACAUCCUGCUAGGUGAUAACUAGACAUAGGGUCUCACUUCGUCACCCAGGCAUGAUCACAAGACUCUGUCUCAAAGAAAAAAAAAACUAUUUUAAAUAGUACUUUCAUUAUACUUUUUAUACAAAUAAAUUCACAUUUUUUAACAUUUUAUUAA